GCUGUGCAUGGUGGUGUAUACCUGUAGUCCCAGCUAUUUGGGAGGUUGAGGUAGGAGGAUCGCUUGAGCUCAGGAGUUAUGAGCUAUGGUGCAUUAUGCUGAUCAGGUGUCUGAACUAAGUUCAGCAUAAUAUGGUGACCUCCGAGGAGCAGGGUGGUGGGGGGGCCCCACAAGGUUGCCUAAGGAAGGGCAAACAGGCCCAGUUCAGAAAUGCAACAGGUCAAAACUCCCAUGCUGAUCAGUAGUGAGAUCGUGCCUGUAAACAGCCACUGCACUCCAGCCUGGGCAACACAGCGAAACCUUGUCACUU
rfam:Nomascus leucogenys chromosome 17, whole genome shotgun sequence.